rnacentral:rRNA from 1 species
CAGUAGCCGCGGGAAUACGUAGGUGGCAAGCGUUGUCCGGAAUUAUUGGGCGUAAAGGGCUCGCAGGCGGUUUCUUAAGUCUGAUGUGAAAGCCCCCGGCUCAACCGGGGAGGGUCAUUGGAAGCUGGGAAACUUGAGUGCAGAAGAGGAGAGUGGAAUUCCACGUGUAGCGGUGAAAUGCGUAGAGAUGUGGAGGAACACCAGUGGCGAAGGCGACUCUCUGGUCUGUAACUGACGCUGAGGAGCGAAAGCGUGGGGAGCGAACAGGAUUAGAUACCCCUGUAGUCCCUGUCUCUUAUAA